CUUGGAGGGCUAGGUUUGCCACUUUUCUGGACUUUUUACAAUUUUUAAUGCCACCGACUACUACCUACUGGACGCAUGUGGUACACCGGCCACGAUGCUAACCAUACAAUUACAGCGUUCACUCAACGUGAAUGUAUUGAACGAUUCCUACGUAGCAGUGAGCACUUUGGGUCCCUAACCAGGUCCCAGGUACCUAUCCCCAUUUUAUCUAUGGCGAAACUGAGGUUCACGUUGAUCAAGUCACUGGUCCCAAGAUCAUGCGACUAGAACGUGGGCGCUUCCUAUUCUGUUUCACCUUUGUCUUUUUAACCUCUCUUUUAGGAUUCCUUUGAUGGGAGCAGAGAAAUUGUUACCACAUUUUCCACAAUUUGUCCACCGCUUCCCACCCUCCAACUUGGUCUGCUAUUCUCCCCUUCCCAGAAAGUUUAGCGCACUUCGCAAGGCCGCGUUAUGACUUUCGUGGAACCGCGACACAUUGGCCUUGUGUUUGUGGAGGUGGGUAGAUAGUCCUAGAUUGGAGCGCGGCAAAGAAAUGUUCAUCAUCGGCAUGUGGUGUAAAUGACACAAGUUGGCGGUCAGCUGGAAGAUACAGCAAAUGUCCAAGGGGCUACCCGUUCCUAGGGAGAGAGAAUUGGGAUCACUCCAGAAUUCCUCGAAGUGGACUAGCUGGGUUCAAGGAUGUGUGCAUUUUACCCUCAAUAAAUGUGGCCAACAUGCCCUCCUCCAAAAAGCGGAAUCAAUUUACACUCCCAUUAGCAGCCAGCUUAGCAGAGUUUAUUUUCCCACAUCUUUGCCAACAGUGAGUAAGUACAUCAAUCUUUUCAGUGUUUGCCUGAUAGAUUAAAAAAAAAAAAAAAAAAAAGAUUUCUUGGUGUUAUUUUAAUUAACACUUCUUCUUAAGGCAAGAAUUUUUCAGGACUCUUUUAGAUGUAUAAUUGUCAAUGCCAGAGAUUACUUUGUACCCUCUCUCUUGGCCCUGUAGGGCAGAUAUUUAAACUCAGAGCAAGGUGCCCAGUGGGGAAAGGAACUGUGCAAGGCCAUCCUGUGAGUUAGGGGCAGAACUGGGGCUCUCCUCAGAGUGUUCUGAAUUCUUUCAGAAAUAAAUAGAGCCUUUCUUUUGAGCCUCUCUGACACAAGUGUUGUUUUUAGUCUGAAUACCAGAGGGAGUAACGGGGACCCAUCAGAAGUAAGCCCUUUGGAUUAGUCCAUCAGUGGAGGUGAUAUAAUUAGCUAGGCCAUGUGAAAAAGAGAAAACUGAAUUGCUACCUUAUCACCAAUGGACCAAACACUUAAAUGUUUAAAAAAAAAUUUUUUUAAGAUAAAAUCAAUAAAUAAGUAGAAUUUAGGAAAAAUAUGAGUAAAUCAGUUCUAUGAUUUAUAAAACAAGUCAUAAAGGUUUAACAAAUUUGACUACUAAAUGCUUUAAAACAUGUGGCAAAACCUCCACAAAUGAGUUUGAAAGACAAAAGGAUACUGUGCACAAGAUCCCACUUGUUAAAACAAAAAACACACAUCAGAAAUUACUUAGGCACAUACCAAUUGU